rnacentral:rRNA from 1 species
UACAGAGGUCCCAAGCGUUGUUCGGAUUCACUGGGCGUAAAGGGUGCGUAGGUGGCUUGGUAAGUUUGAUGUGAAAUCUCCGGGCUUAACUCGGAAAGGUCAACUGAUACUGUGCGACUAGAGUGCGGAAGGGGCAACUGGAAUUCUCGGUGUAGCGGUGAAAUGCGCAGAUAUCAGGAGGAACACCGGUGGCGAAGGCGGGUCUCUGGGCCGAUACUGACGCUGAGGAGCGAAAGCGUGGGGAGCAAACAGG